CAAAGUACCGGCCAGUCCGGCCGCCUCUGCGAGCACCGGCAUGCCCCCCGGGGCCGUGUCGGUGUUUGACAGUUUACCCCAUGUGAAAACCCCUUGUUGCUUCGGCAGCGCCUUCCCGUCCGCGGGGAGGGUCAGCCUGCCGACGGCACCUCAGGAAACCCUUUGAACUGAAAGGAAGCAUUGAUAACGUCUGAGAGCGCAGUCGAAUGACAUAUA
rnacentral:misc_RNA from 1 species